UACGUAGGGUGCGAGCGUUAAUCGGAAUUACUGGGCGUAAAGCGUGCGCAGGCGGUUUUGUAAGCCGGAUGUGAAAUCCCCGGGCUCAACCUGGGAAUGGCGAUGAAGACUGCAAGGCUAGAAUCUGGCAGAGGGGGGGUAGAAUUCCACGUGUAGCAGUGAAAUGCGUAGAGAUGUGGAGGAACACCGAUGGCGAAGGCAGCCCCCUGGGUCAAGAUUGACGCUCAUGCACGAA
rnacentral:rRNA from 1 species